rnacentral:ncRNA from 1 species
GGAAGCCGGUGAGAUUCCGGAGCGGCCGCGCCACUGUGACCGGCUGGCGAGAUUUACUCCCAGCAGGAAGCCAGAC